rnacentral:rRNA from 1 species
UUCAUUCGCGUUUCGACGUAGGCACGGGACGGGGUCUCGGUCGAGCGACGAAACACGUUCUUCGGAGCGAGUUUCGCGCGCCCUCCCCCUCGUCCUUUGAACCGGCGACGAACGCGUGCACUUUUCUCCUGGUAGGACGUCGCGAUCCGUCGGGUGUCGGUCUACGACUUGCGGUGGAGUCCGUCCGUCGUCUCGUACGUUACGGACGGACCCGCUCGUUCCGGCCGGCUCGCUCGACGGUAUACGUAUACACGGUCGAAGGCCGCUCGUUAAGGAGCGUUCGACUCGUCGCAAGCGCGCCACGUGCGUCGGCACGCGGACCCAGUGCCGCGUCCGACCUCUGGUGACUGUUGGCGACGAAGUUCUCGGACAGACCUUUGUUUUUUUUUUCUUCGGAAAAAGGAAAUGACCGAUCGGCGACGCUAUAGCUUUGGGUACUUUCAGGACCCGUCUUGAAACACGGACCAAGGAGUCUAGCAUGUACGCGAGUCAUUGGGAAUAUUACUAAACCUAAAGGCGUAAUGAAAGUGAAGGUCUUCCUCGCGAAGACCGAGGGAAGACGGACGGUCGAUCCUAGACCGUCCUGCAUUCCCGGGGCGUCUCGUUCACAUUGCGUGAAGAGGCGCACCAAGAGCGUACACGCUGGGACCCGAAAGAUGGUGAACUAUGCCUGGUCAGGACGAAGUCAGGGGAAACCCUGAUGGAGGUCCG